GUCCCAGUUCGGAUUGCAGGCUGCAGCCCGCCUGCAUGAAGUUGGAAUCGCUAGUAAUCGCGGAUCAGCAUGCCGCGGUGAAUACGUUCCCGGGCCUUGUACACACCGCCCGUCACACCAUGAGAGUCGGGAACACCCGAAGUCCGUAGCCUAACCGCAAGGGGGGCGCGGCCGAAGGUGGGUUCGAUAAUUGGGGUGAAGUCGUAACAAGGUACC
rnacentral:rRNA from 1 species